ACAGAGUAAGAGACUCCAUUUCAAAAAGCAAAACAAAAUGGGUAAUCACAUAGGAACAGCGUACAGCCUAGAUGCAGCGCUAGUCUACCCCUGGGUGAGGCUGACAUGUGGCUACACCAGCUCAUUUUCAAAUGAGCUUGCACUGGGGCCCCUCCCUUCCACAUGCUGUGGAAGACCCCCACCCCAGCAGCUACCUCCUCCAAUAGCUGCAGGCUUCCCAUUGCCUCCAAUGAGGACAUCACCUGCCCUGGGGGCAGCCAGGGGCAGUUAGUGUUCAGUGGGGACUUAAACGGGCUCUGCUACCAACACCUGCCUUCCUACUCCCCAGGGCCCCGGGACCUGUCCCCAGUGCAGCACACUUUGGGGUCAGUGCCUAUGGUAAGUUGGAGGAACUUUGGUAGCUAGAACAGGGGUGUUUUCUAGACUCUAGGCUGAAGGGUGAGGCGAGCAGGGUAUCCAGUGUUCAAAGAAGCGGUGGCUUUGAUCCAGGAAAAGAAGUCCAGGUGUUUCUGUGGGACUGUGAGGGAAAGGUGCUGUGCCCUUUGAGGGAAUGUGUCAUCACCACAUCCCUUUCUCCUCCAUGCUGUUUAGGAUGGACAGGGGUGGGAAUGUGAUGAGCAGAAAUAGCCUCUCAUGGGCAGGAGGGGAAGCCAGAAGUAGCACCGACUCUCUUCAAGAGCUCUUCUGCAAAGCCUUCCUUCCGGAAUAGGACCCACUAAGUUCCAGGCAAGCUUCAUUCCCUUCCCCUCAGAGCCUCUGUAAGACAUGCCCUUCAAAGAAACUAGCUCCAGCAAAUAAAAUAAUGAAUCAUAAAUUUUAUUUCAAAAUGUAAACGUCACUAAACAUGCAUACACGUUAAAACAAUAAAAUUUACAAUUUCGUUAAUUUUUCUUUUUGCAUAGGACAUCAUUACAAUAUAGAAUCUAUGCCAUACAAAAUACAUACAAAGUUUAAUCCGAGCAAGCCAAGGCCAGACUGGGAACUGUACAACUGUAAUACUUCACUGUAGUGAUCCAGAAAAGAUGAAACAUGGCCUUCGGAAUUAUGGUGGGUGCUGGUUAAAAAAAAGUUCC